CUGUGUGGACAGACGGUCGCGGGUUUCGAUUCGUGCGAAACGCGAGGAAAGUCCGGACACGACAGGACACGGUGGUGGAUAACGUCCACCGACCUUUGAUUGCUGGGUCAGGGCGAGUGCCACAGAGAGUAGACCGCCGAUGGUCACGUUCGCGUGACACAGGUAAGGGUGAAAGGGUGCGGUAAGAGCGCACCGCGUGCUUGGUGACAAGCAUGGCUUGGUAAACCCCACCGCGUGCAAGCGCAAGCAGUUCUCGAUCCACUUUGGUGGAUGCCCCUUGUCUGGGGGAUGAGAACGGGUCGCGUGCAAAAGCGUGUCGGC
rnacentral:RNase_P_RNA from 1 species